AUGGAACUUUUAUCAAUUCUGAAUUCGAUGGUUACUUAAGUAAGUUUCCUCCGUUUUGUAGGUUGCCGAUUAUGAGAAAUCCGAUAUUUGUGCAGUGGUGGACCCUCCAAACUGGGAACAGCCAAGUUUUGCCUUACCUGCAUGAAAGCACAAUCCUGGACUUUCUCACAACUCUUUGUUUUCGUUGUGUUGUUGUGUAUAUGUACGCAUUUCUUGUUUGGUCGAGAGAAUGGAUGACCUAAAAUGCAGUUUGUCGUUUGUCUUAUCUUGUACAUCAGUAACUAGAAGAUGAUCAUUUGUAGAAUGCUUCUGUAGUACUGUGCGAACCAGACUUUAGAAUUAUAGAAUUAUGGCAAUUGAUUAAUAAUGGAGGAAUAUCAGUUCACUAAACGUUACUCCUUUUGUGGUGCUGGUUGUUAAAGUUGUUAUACUCUAGACUAGAGUCGAUUGCUGUUGAGUCCCACAUCGGGCGGGAGUUAACAAAUGGGUCACCUGUCUUAGGUCCUCACGAGCUAGCUUUUGGAGUUGAGUUAUCCUCAAGUUGCUCUUUUGUGUAUCUCAUCAAAUAAUGAUGGAAUAUAUUUUAGAAAGAACUACUGCCGCUAUGCGUUGUCAUUAAAUUCAAGAAUCAAAAGAUAAUCAUAUUUGCAGCUGGGCAGUGCUUACUGAUAUCAAAAUCUGGAAUUUAUUCAUAAAACCAAUCAACUAACAAAUGAACGUGAAUGUUAAUUAAGACAAUUAGCCUAUACGCCAGUUGUGUACUAGUCAUUGUUGCAGAUAUCUAAAGGGUCUGGCGGGGAAAAACUUGUGAAGACUCCCUCUCUUAUCAUGUGAAUGCUUUAAAGGCUCAAGUAAAGAACAUCACACCGUUCAAAAUUUACUUCAUUCACGGCUUUCCUUUCCUUUAUGUUCAAUGUGAUCUCCACUACUUGAAUUAAUCUUGAAACUGAAAAAACUCCAAUUUUCCUGUUUUGGGUUCUUUGUUUGAUCAUUAAACAAGAUCCUAUAUACUAUGAAGGACUUGUCUUUCUUUCUCUUGAAGAAUGGCAUGGCAGCUAAGAUGAAGAAAGGCUUUAAAAACUUCUGCAAUGAUGAUUACUCUACUUCCACUCUCAACCAGCAACCAAAUACAAUAUCAUCAGUUGAACAUCUCGUCUCCUCUCCCUACACAAUGCAAACAACUAGUCCUGUUAAUCAUAGGCAAAAAGAAAGCGAAAAAAGCCAGACGACCUUGGAGGAAAUGUUGCUGAAGUUAGACUUGGAAGAGAAGAUGGCAAUUAGUAGGGCAAAGUUGAAGGAUUAUGGGCAAGUCAAUCAUAGAAUGUCGUGUGUAAACAGUUCUGAUAUUUUACGAACAGCAAGAAAUGCAUUAAACCAAUAUCCCCGUUUUUCUCUGGAUGGCAAAGAUGCCAUGUAUCGUUCUUCCUUUCGCGACACAUCUCCUAUACAAAACACAUUUACUGCUCCAAGAAAAUCAGUUCAAAAUAACCUGCCACCGACUAUAGCAGGAGAAAAGGUGAUUUGGUGUAAACCAGGUGUAGUGGCUAAGCUAAUGGGAUUAGAGGCGCUGCCAAUUCCAGUAAACUGCUAUAAGUAUAGUAAGGAAAGAUUUAGUGCAAUGGUUAAAAAACAAAACUUGAGGAGAAGAGCUGAAAGAUACGAGAUGGAGAAGAGAAGAGAAAGGGUGAACAAUGUGAUGAGUUCAUGUUCAAGAAAUGGGUGCUGUGUUAUGAAGCCUGUAGCAAUGGAGGAUUCAAAGGAUUACCAAGAAGUAGGCUGGCCAAUGCGAAGUAACGUUUUGUACAGAAAUCGUAAUGUUGUGUGAGUUUUAUUGAGUAGUUUCUUUGGUUCCAAAUGCUACCACCAAUUUUUGGUUAAUUGAUGCAAUUGUACUGUUUCUCAUAUAUAUGCUGCUUUCUUACACCCUUUUGUAUGUGAGUCGUCAAAUUUGGAAUCCAAUAAUUGAUGUGUAAAUACUUUUUCUUUGUUUUUUCCCUAAAUAAACUUUAUGUAUAAAGAUCAAGUUUAAACAUAUGAUGUAUCACUGGAAAACAGACUCGCCACGUGGACCUAUUUUGUGAUGACAGGCGUCGAUAAAGGCGUCGAUGGAGUUAUUACUGUAUAUGGGUGAACAUGGGCUUAGCGCACACACUGACUUCCCGGUAGGUCAAACUAAGAAAGAGUAUGAAUGUAUGAGAUCGAGACCGAAGUUGGGAACUCGUUGGAUCGAGACUGGAACGGGGUACUCGCCACCGGGCCCGACGAGAUAAUGCUCCCCGAACCCAGAACGAGCUCCAAGACCUCGGAAAGCACUGUAAACGGUUGCACAUGACUAACAGAGGGCCGUAAUAUCCACACCCAACUGGAUAUCAUGGCGCAGAUUUCGUCCAAUGUCGGUAGUGUAUCGGUAAUUGACCAGAAAAGAGGAUUUUUACCUUUUUAGGAUUGUACUAGGGAUGAAACUCCCCUACUAUAUAAACGGGAAACUUUUUAUUCAAUGGGCACAUUGUAACACGCAUAUCAAUGCAAUACAAACUUAUUUCUCUACUUUCUAGCUACUGCAAAGUCUUGACUUUAUUUUUGUUCUUUGCUCUUGUCUGGCUUCGAGCCUAGGACUCAAUCGAGGGCAGAAAUUAUUGCUCAGUCCAAGUUCAAUCUAGGCCAUAACGUUACAACUGGUUUGAUUAUUCAUUAUGUCUUUAAAUCAUUUAUCUAGCAUUUUUGAUUAUUUGUGUUGAUCAAUCUACAUAUCUUUGAAUUCACAUAUACAUUCAAUUGUUAUCUAUUUUAAGGGUAAAUAAUUUGGCGCUCACCGUUGGGCUAAGGAUAAUAGUGGUGGUUUGAUACAAAUUUUCAUAACACACUCUAUUUGACACUUGUUCGUUAAGGUUUCAAUUUUAGGUGCUUAAAAAUAUCAAAUUCUCAGUAUAUUCACUUGAACAUUGAGGCUGAGUCUGGCCAUCAUGGCGAAACAAUAACCUAGUGCCUAGCAAUGAGGUGCGCCCUGCUGAUCCCAACGGAGUCCCAGUUGCCGAUCCAAUCGACACCAAUUCACAAAUUGCUAUCGACGCCCACCUGCCGACUGACCCCGAAAACACUGUUUGUUGAGGCCCUCGACUAGUAGUUCGAGAAACACCCGAAGGCGAUGGGAUAAGCCUGCAACUAAUCUUUGAAAUAUUGCAGGUUCAAUAGGCGGCAAUAACACAACUAAAGAAUCAAGGCCACCCCUAGUACGGUCGAGCCCGAAUAAUCCCGGAAGAACACCCGAAGAAACGAGCAAACCACCAAGAGGUCGGGUGAAGUUGAGCCCCGGGCCAACCCUGAGAUAAUAAAAAUGCUUGAAGCACUGACGAAGCAGGUUGAAUCAGGUGAGAAGAAAAUUGAGGCCAAUGACAAAAAGGUGGAAACAUAUAACUCCAGGGUCGGUCAAAUCCCGGGAGCACCCCGGAUAUUAAAAGGACUGGAUUCUACGAAGUCUAUCCAAAAGCUUUUUCCUCCGAGCGUUGCACCGAAGCCGAUCCCAAAGAGGUUUCGUAUGCCUAAUAUUCCAAAGUACAACGGAACCACAGAUCCAAACGAGCAUGUGACCUCCUAUACAUGAUCCAUCAAGGGAAACGAAUUGGAAGAUGACGAAAUCGAGUCAGUUUUUCUAAAGAAGUUCAGGGAAACCGUGUCAAAGGGAGCAAUGAUAUGGUAUCACAACUCACCCCCAAGUUCUAUUGAUUCGUUUGCUAUGCUUUCAGAUGCUUUUGUGAAGGCACAUGCUGGGGCCAUCAAGGUCGAGACAAGAAAAUCAGACCUUUUCAAGGUUAAGUAAAGAGACAACGAGAUGCUUAGGGAGUUCGUGUCAAGGUUUCAAAUGGAACAGAUAGACAUGCCUCCGGUUGAAGAUGAUUGGGUCGUUCGGGCAUUCACUCAAGGACUUUACCCUCGAAGCUCCUUGGCUUCGCAGUAGCUGAAACAAAAUUUGGUAGACUAUCCGACGGUAACCUGGGCCGACGUCCACAAUAGAUACCAAUCAAAAAUCAGAGUCGAGGGCGACGAACUCGGAGCACCUUCUAGGUCCGUCUAUCCCAUUAGAACCGAUGACAGGUCUAAGAGGACCGUCAAUCAUGAACUUAGAUUGAUCCGAGAUCGGUAUCAACCAUACAAUGAAGAUCAAAGGGGAAACGAGCUCGGGCGUCACCCUACGAGGAAUGAAAAGAGAACCGAUCUAUGGCCCAAUAUCCAAGGUCUGAUGAGCAAAAAUGGUUUCGACAGGCCACUCGGGGCCAGGGAGGCAUCGAGAUUGUUAGAAUAUAACUUCAACGUCGAUGCUGCCAGUAUCGUAUCAACUAUCAGGCGAAUCAAGGACACCAAAUGGCAUUGACCAUUGCAAUCCCACCCUAUUCAGAGAGAUCCUAACUUGAUGUGUAAGUAUCAUGGCACUCAUGGCCACAAGACCAAGGAUUGCCGGCAAUUAAGAGAAGAAGUUGCCCGAUUAUUUAAUAACGGGUACCUACGAGAAUUUCUAAGCGAUCGAGCCAAAAAACACUUCAAAAAUAGGGACGCCAACAAACAGACCGAACAAGAAGAACCUCAGCACAUCAUCACAUGAUCAUUAGAGGGGUCGACCUCCCUCAAGGGCUAAUGAUAAAACACACUAAAAGAUGCAUCACGAGGAAAAGUACACCCGAGAUUACGUCCCAGAAGGGACCAUUUCGUUUAGCGACGAGGAUGCCGAAGGUAUCAUACAACCUCAUAAUAAUGCACUGGUAAUAUCUGUACUUAUCAAUAAAUUUCGAGUUAAACAUGUGUUGAUUGAUCCAGGUAGCUCGGCCAAUAUCAUUAGAUCGAGGGUCGUAGAGCAGUUGAGGCUACAGGACUAAAUAGUGUCAGCAGUCCGAGUUUUGAACGGAUUCAACAUGGUAUGCAAAACCACCAAAAGGGAGAUAACCCUACCAGUAAGUAUCGUCGGGACCAUCUAGAAAACAAAGUUCUAUGUGAUCGAAGGAGACAUGAGAUAUAACGCUCUAUUCGAAAGACCAUGGGUUCACAACAUGAGGGCGAUACCUUCGACCUUACACUAAGCGUUAAAGUUCCUUACACCGGGAGAAAUCAAGAUGGUAACGAAGAACAUCUGGCUACAAAGGAGAUGUUUACAAUUGAUGAAGUACUCCUGGUAUCCGCUGUCUCGACAUUACUGAACACGGAGCCAACUAGAAAGGCCGAAGUUAAAUAGUAACCACCGACCACGGUCCUGGACAGACUAGAGGAACGAGGAGUCAACGAGGAGGAUGAUUACGAAGUUCCGAGAUCAUUCAUAGCUCCUGAUAAUACCGACACCACAAAAUCAACGGUCGAAGAUUUGGAGCAAGUCUUAUUGAUCGAACACCUGCCGGAUCGAAAGGUAUACCUAGGCACGGGGUUAACCCUCGAGCUCAAGAAAAAACUCAUUAAUUUUCUUAGAGCUAACGUAACCUUUUUUGCUUGGUCACAUCUUGACAUGAUAGUGAUCCCGCCGGAGGUAACCACUCAUAAGAUGAGGUUGGACCCGAAGUUCCACCUGGUUAAGAAAAAAGAGGAGACCCCAAUCCGAGGUCAAGCAUGCAUUCAUCAAGGUUAGGUAUCUAAAAUCCUAAAAACAGGGUCCAUUCGGGAAUUUAAGUACCCGGACUGGUUAGCUAACAUAGUGGUAGUGCCUAAAAAAGGAAAUAAGCUAAGAAUGUGUGUAGAUUAUAAAGACUUGAACAAGGCAUGCCCUAAGGAUUCUUUUUCUUUGCCUAACAUCGAUCAGAUGAUCGAUGCAACGACCGAGCACGAGAUACUCAGCUUUCUCGAUGCCUAUUCCGGGCACAACCAAAUUCGGACGGAAUCAAGAAAAGACAUAUUUUAUUACUAAAUUCGGUACUUAUUGCUAUAAGGUGAUGCCAUUUAGAUUAAAGAACGCUGGUGCCACCUAUCAACGCCUAGUAAACCAGAUAUUCGAAGAACAUAUAGGAAAAUCAUGGGAAGUUUAUAUUGACGACAUGUUAGUUAAGUCUGUGCAAGCAGAGUACAAUUUGAAACAUUUGUAGGAAAACUUCGACAUAUUGAAUAAAUACAAUAUGAAUCUAAACUCGGAGAAACGUGCAUUCAGGUCGGAUCGGGAAAAUUACUCAGGUUCAUAGUAUCCAAUCGGGGAAUCGAGAUCAAUCCCAACAAAAUUAAAGCCAUAGAAGACAUCACCAUGUUGGACAACGUCAAGGCCGUUUAGAGGCUGAUCAGACAUAUAGCCGCUCUAGGAUGGUUCAUAUCGAGAUCCUCGGACAAAAUCCAACGGUUCUUCUCACUACUAAAGAAGAAGAAUAAUUUUUCCUGGACCUCAGAAUGCCAACAGGCUUUGGAAGAGCUCAAAUAGUACCUAUCAAGCCCGCCAAUGCUGCACACUCUGAAAGAGGACGAACAACUGUACCUUUACUUGGUGGUUUCCAAGGUGGCGAUAAGUGGACUAUUAGUUUGGGAAGAGGAAGGUACGCAAUUUCCUAUUUACUAUGUCAGUAGAUUUCUAGGUGAGGCCGAAAAGAGGUAUCCUCACCUGGAAAAAUUGGUACUCGCUUUGCUAAGAGCCUCCAGAAAGUUAAAACCAUACUUUCAAUGCAACCCCAUAUAUGUCUAAACCUCUUAUCCACUAAGGAACAUCAUGCACAAACCCGAACUCUUGAGCCGGUUGGCCAAAUGGGCCAUCAAAAUUAGCGGGUAUAAUAUCAAAUAUCGACCUCGAACCGCCAUGAAAUCUCAAAUUUUGGCAGACUUCGUGGCCGACUUUAUGCCGGCCUUAAUUCUUGAAGUCGAAAUGGAAUUAUUGUUAACCUCGGGGACUGCCUCAGGAAUCUGGAUUCUUUUAUGGAUGGUGCCUCAAAUGCAAAGGGGUCCGAACUCGGCAUCUUGUUGAAACCACUUACGGGGAGUAUAAUUAGGCAAUCUAUUAGAACUGUGAAAUUGACUAAGAAUGAUGCUGAGUAUAAGACCAUGAUUUCAUGUCUCGAAUUGGCUAAAAGCCUUGGGGCUGAGGUAAUCGAAGCCAAGUGUGACUCUCUUCUCGUGGUAAAUCAAGUCAAUGGAACGUUCGAAGUGAAAGAGGAAUGGAUGCGAAGGUACUUAGACAAAUGAAAGGUAACGAUGUAUUAAUUUAGGGAAUGGACUCUACAUCACGUGCCUCGAGAUCAGAAUAGUGAGAUCGAUGCUCUGGCUAACCUAGGUUCGUCGGUCGAUGUCGAUGAGUUCAGCUCAGGGACAAUAGUACAACUCAUGAAAUCUGUGAUAGAAGAAGGCCAAGCCGAAGUAAAUUCCACGAGUUUAACUUGGGAUUGGAGGAACAAGUACAUAGAUUACUUGAAGACUGGAAAAUUGCCCUCGGAUCCCAAAGAAUUGAGAGCUAUACGUACCAAGGCUGCCAGAUUUCGCUUGGUCAAAAGGACAUUGUUCAGGAGAACAUUCAAUGGUCCACUAGCCAGGUGUUUGGAGCCGGUAGAUACCAAAUAUACAUUGAUGGAAGUUCACGAAGGCACCUGCUGGAACCACUCAAGGGCGGAAUCUUUGGUUAAAAAAUUAAUCAGAGCCGGCUAUUACUGGACCAAAAUGGAGAAGUAUGCGAAGGACUUCAUACGAAAAUGCAAUGACUGCUAGAGAUAUGCACCAUCAUCCAUCAACCGGGAGAGCUACUCCACUCGAUCCUGUCUCUGUAGCCGUUUAUGAAAUGGGGAAUGGACAUCGUCGGUACCCUACCAUGGGCACAUGGUAAAGCUCAAUUCAUACUAUUCAUGACCGAUUAUUUCUCCAAAUGGGUCGAGGCUCAAGCAUUCAAAAAGGUCCGGGAGAAAUAAGUCAUUAACUUCAUUUUGGACCACAUAAUAUGUCGAUUUGGGAUACUGGUCGAAGCCGUGUGCGAUAAUGGGAAACAAUUCACCGGCAGCAAGGUAAAUAAAUUUUUUGGAGAUCACAAGAUUAAGAAGAUACUAUCAACACCUUACCACCCUAGUGGGAACAGGCAGACGGAUCAACAAACAAGACUAUACUUCAAAACCUAAAAAAAA
rnacentral:lncRNA from 1 species